CAAUGGCAAGUCGAGCGGUAGCACAGAGAGCUUGCUCUCGGGUGACGAGCGGCGGACGGGUGAGUAAUGUCUGGGAAACUGCCUGAUGGAGGGGGAUAACUACUGGAAACGGUAGCUAAUACCGCAUAACGUCGCAAGACCAAAGUGGGGGACCUUCGGGCCUCAUGCCAUCAGAUGUGCCCAGAUGGGAUUAGCUAGUAGGUGGGGUAACGGCUCACCUAGGCGACGAUCCCUAGCUGGUCUGAGAGGAUGACCAGCCACACUGGAACUGAGACACGGUCCAGACUCCUACGGGAGGCAGCAGUGGGGAAUAUUGCACAAUGGGCGCAAGCCUGAUGCAGCCAUGCCGCGUGUGUGAAGAAGGCCUUCGGGUUGUAAAGCACUUUCAGCGGGGAGGAAGGCGUUAAGGUUAAUAACCUUGGCGAUUGACGUUACCCGCAGAAGAAGCACCGGCUAACUCCGUGCCAGCAGCCGCGGUAAUACGGAGGGUGCAAGCGUUAAUCGGAAUUACUGGGCGUAAAGCGCACGCAGGCGGUCUGUCAAGUCGGAUGUGAAAUCCCCGGGCUCAACCUGGGAACUGCAUUCGAAACUGGCAGGCUAGAGUCUUGUAGAGGGGGGUAGAAUUCCAGGUGUAGCGGUGAAAUGCGUAGAGAUCUGGAGGAAUACCGGUGGCGAAGGCGGCCCCCUGGACAAAGACUGACGCUCAGGUGCGAAAGCGUGGGGAGCAAACAGGAUUAGAUACCCUGGUAGUCCACGCCGUAAACGAUGUCGAUUUGGAGGUUGUGCCCUUGAGGCGUGGCUUCCGGAGCUAACGCGUUAAAUCGACCGCCUGGGGAGUACGGCCGCAAGGUUAAAACUCAAAUGAAUUGACGGGGGCCCGCACAAGCGGUGGAGCAUGUGGUUUAAUUCGAUGCAACGCGAAGAACCUUACCUGGUCUUGACAUCCACAGAA
rnacentral:rRNA from 1 species